UGGAUGCUGAGUUCUAAUGAAGCAGCGCUUCAAGUAAAUUAAAUUGUGUGAUUCAUUAAAUUGUGUGAUUGCCAAUAUACCAUAGAAGAAGAAGAAGAAAAUUGUAUGUGACAGCAGAGAUGAGGCGCGCUCUGUCCACCACGCCUCCACCACACCACGACACAUUAUGUCAAACUAAUUUGCAAUUGACUGUCAUAGACGAGGGAUGCAAUGUUGGAAGCAUUGUGCAAUUCUCUUGGCGCGAGUACAGUUGGUGAGAAUGAGUGGACGAUGGUGAAGAAGAGUGGAGUAAAGUUGAAAAUUAACAGCAGUUUAUGGUUGGAGUGAGAUUCACGAUUCACGUUUUUUUUGGGUGACCCGUUUGCGGUCUCGAAGAUGGUGAAGGACGAAUUGGGUAAAGGGGAAUCGGUCAGAGGGACCAGGAUCGGUAUGAUGUUGAUUUCGUGUGUGCCAAAAGAGCAAAAGGAGAAAGAUCUGUGUCUUUACAAGAUGGCGACGUAUGAUGUGGAAAGCUAUGAUUUUCAGAGUAGAGCACUGGUUAAAGAUGUCAUCUCUGGUGCCUCGUUGGACAAAGAGUGUGUGGUUUAGGGAUAACAUUCCAGGAGUGGUAGACGCACGUCACUUGAAUCAAAUGAUAGAUCGGAAAGAAGGAGCUAAGCCUAUCGGUUUUACUGUCGUUUGAUGAAGUGGUUCUCCCAAUUUAUGUAAAACUUGGGUAUGUGAGAUAUGUGGUGAGACCGUUUGUACAGUGUUACAAUUGUAAAAAGUUUGGACACAUGGCAAGGGUUUUUCGAAUUAAUAAAUAUGUCGUAGUUGAAGAGUCAGAUGAAACACGUUGUUGUAAUUGUGAUGGGAAUCACAAAUCCAAAUUCCCUGAUUUCCCUGUAAGGAUGAAGGAGGUCGCAGUAGUUAGGAUUAUCCAGCAAGUCUGCUAUGUGGAGGCAGUGAAAAUAGCUGAAGGAGUGAGUAGAGAGGAGAUGGUAGUGGAUGUCCCACAGUCUGCAGUGAAUGACAAGCAGGAGAAGGAUCCCGACACACUAAUAGUGAAGAAGGUGGACUUUAUCAAUUGCACCAGUCAAAAGAAUACAAAAUCAAAGAAGCUAGAUGUCAUUGUGAAAAUCGAUUUCUGGAUCUCCAGGACUUUACAGCCGAAACGUUACAGGGAGUACUGAGUGGAGAGGUUCCCCCCUCCCAUGUUCCCAAGCCUGUGUAUGGAUCUGAUUUCAAUGCAAUCCUGCAUUAAAAGUAUGUGAUGCACAUGCAGUCAGGAGCAGAGGAGAGGAGAAAAGAGAACCGCAUGCUCCGGAUAAAUGGAUGGGACAGCGUCUGUCUUCAGCUUCAGCCAUCGGUGAUGACCCAGCGUAACUUGUAAUGCAUUUGAAAAGCUGUCGCUGUCAAAGUGAGCAGCACAAAUUCUGGGAUUUGACGGUUAUCCGGGGCUGUGAAGCUACACUCUUACUGUCCACAGAAAGGGGCCGAGGGGCAGUUUGUUGUAGUUGCACACCUUUCUUGGUGCCCACUGAUAACUCUGCCAUGGUUUAAUUUUCCUCAAGUCUCUCCUCAGCGAGCACACUGUAUGGCU